AAAAACUCAAGAUGGCUUCAGGAGAAUCUCACAGAUAUGGAUGUCAAGGUUAAAGGAAUGAUCAAACUCAUUAAUGAAGAUGCUGAUUCUUUUGCAAGGAGAGCAGAGAUGUACUAUAAAAAACGUCCAGAGUUGAUGAAAUUUGUAGAAGAAUUCUAUAGAGCAUACCGUGCAUUGGCUGAAAGAUAUGAUCACGCAACCGGUGUGAUCCGGCACGCCCACCGGACCAUGACAGAUUUAGGACUUGGAGAUGAUUCACCUGCAGGUUCUGAUCCUCAAACACCA
rnacentral:misc_RNA from 1 species